rnacentral:rRNA from 1 species
AAUGAACGCUGGCGGCAGGCCUAACACAUGCAAGUCGAACGAAGUCUUCGGACUUAGUGGCGGACGGGUGAGUAACGCGUGGGAACAUACCCUUUGGUACGGAAUAGCCUCGGGAAACUGGGAGUAAUACCGUAUGUGCCCUUCGGGGGAAAGAUUUAUCGCCAAAGGAUUGGCCCGCGUUGGAUUAGGUAGUUGGUGGGGUAAUGGCCUACCAAGCCGACGAUCCAUAGCUGGUUUGAGAGGAUGAUCAGCCACACUGGGACUGAGACACGGCCCAGACUCCUACGGGAGGCAGCAGUGGGGAAUCUUAGACAAUGGGCGCAAGCCUGAUCUAGCCAUGCCGCGUGAUCGAUGAAGGCCUUAGGGUUNUAAAGAUCUUUCAGAUGGGAAGAUAAUGACGGUACCAUCAGAAGAAGCCCCGGCUAACUCCGUG